rnacentral:rRNA from 1 species
GACGAACGCUGGCGGCGUGCUUAACACAUGCAAGUCGAACGGAAAGGCCCUGCUUUUGUGGGGUGCUCGAGUGGCGAACGGGUGAGUAACACGAGAGUAACCUGCCCUUGACUUUGGGAUAACUUCAGGAAACUGGGGCUAAGACCGGAUAGGAUCUCCUGCUGCAUGGUGGGGGUUGGAAAGUUUCGGCGGUUGGGGAUGGACUCGCGGCUUAUCAGCUUGUUGGUGGGGUAGUGGCUUACCAAGGCUUUGACGGGUAGCCGGCCUGAGAGGGUGACCGGCCACAUUGGGACUGAGAUACGGCCCAGACUCCUACGGGAGGCAGCAGUGGGGAAUAUUGCACAAUGGGCGGAAGCCUGAUGCAGCAACGCCGCGUGCGGGAUGACGGCCUUCGGGUUGUAAACCGCUUUCGCCUGUGACGAAGCGUGAGUGACGGUAAUGGGUAAAGAAGCACCGGCUAACUACGUG